GGGAAGAGAAGGUGAGAUCUGAAGAAGAGGAGCGAACUGAGGGAGGAGAAGAGGGAGGCUGCGCCGUCGCCAUUGGGUCUCGUCACCACCGCCAAUGCCGAUGAAGUGAGGAGGCGCUGAACUGCUGCACGCGGGAAGCCGUGCUGUCGCCGCCAUCGCCGUCCCGUCCAUGGAGCCCGAGCCUUCGCCUCGCCGUCGUGUUGCCAUUAAAAGAGAAGGGAGCGCGAACCACAGCAACGGACAGAGAAGAGAGCGCGCAUGCAGAGGAGGUGAAGUCGACGCUGUCACCAUCGCGUGUGGAGUUGCCGCCGUGCUCGGCCGUCAUCGCCGCCGUUCCUCCACCAUCGCCGAAGGUCCAUCACAGCAGCUGAAGCCUCUGCAUUCUCAGGACGUGCGCCGCUGCUGUGAGCUUCUCCUGCCGUUUGGUUCUGAUUCGGUGGAAAUCCAUUGCGCCAAAUCUAUCAUAAGUGGUUCACGCCGAUUCUGUUCUUACCGGUGAAGACUGCCGGAGCUGCGACCGUGUUGCUCUUGGUUCCUU